CGUAUCCAACCUGCCGUCUACUCUUGGCCAGCCUUCUGAAAGGAAGAUUAAUCCAGGAUGGGAUCAUGAGUUCACAUGUCCGCAUGAUUAAAGGUAUUUUCCGGUAGACGAUGGGGAUGCGUUCCAUUAGAUAGUAGACGGGGUAACGGCCCACCUAGUCAACGAUGGAUAGGGGUUCUGAGAGGAAGGUCCCCCACAUUGGAACUGAGACACGGUCCAAACUCCUACGGGAGGCAGCAGUGAGGAAUAUUGGUCAAUGGGCGAUGGCCUGAACCAGCCAAGUAGCGUGAAGGAUGACUGCCCUAUGGGUUGUAAACUUCUUUUAUAAAGGAAUAAAGUCGGGUAUGCAUACCCGUUUGCAUGUACUUUAUGAAUAAGGAUCGGCUAACUCCGUGCCAGCAGCCGCGGUAAUACCGGAGGAUCCGAGCGUUAUCCGGAUUUAUUGGGUUUAAAGGGGAGGCGUAGGAUGGAUGUUUAAGUCAGUUGU
rnacentral:rRNA from 1 species